UAUUCUCAAACCUUUAAAGCUUUAGAGCGAUAAAGGCUUGGAUUUGGAGGUUGUGUUGGCGCAAGUCAACUCCUCUUAAAUGCAUUAGCGUGAAUCUUUUACGGAUCGCCUCCAGUGUGAUAAUUUGUCUACGCUGUGGUGUUGAAGUAUAAAUGUAGUGUUCAUGCUUCUAACUGUCUUGUAACGAGACAAACAUAAUUGACA
rnacentral:misc_RNA from 1 species